rnacentral:rRNA from 1 species
UACGUAGGGGGCAAGCGUUGUCCGGAUUUAUUGGGCGUAAAGAGCGUGUAGGCGGCUUGGUAGGUCCGCUGUGAAAACUCGAGGCUCAACCUCGAGAUGUCGGCGGAAACCACUUGGCUAGAGUCCGGAAGAGGAGAGUGGAAUUCCUGGUGUAGCGGUGAAAUGCGUAGAUAUCAAGAGGAACACCUGAGGUGAAGACGGGUUGCUGGGCUGACACUGACGCUGAGGCGCGAAAGCCAGGGGAGCAAACGGG